ACAAGCACGGUUGGGAUGAUGGAGAGUAAGGACAUUCAGAUCUGCGAAGCUUAUGGUCCCGUAACUUUUAAAAUGGAUUGGGUGUUUGAGUUUGUUGACCUGAAUGUCUUUCUCUUCAUCAAAACUGCCUC
rnacentral:pre_miRNA from 1 species